rnacentral:rRNA from 1 species
CUACGGGAGGCAGCAGUGAGGAAUAUUGGUCAAUGGGCGCAAGCCUGAACCAGCCAUCCCGCGUGCAGGAAGAAGGCGCUAUGCGUUGUAAACUGCUUUUCCAGGGGAAGAAAUUUAUCUACGAGUAGGUAAUUGCCGGUACCUUGGGAAUAAGCAUCGGCUAACUCCGUGCCAGCAGCCGCGGUAAUACGGAGGAUGCGAGCGUUAUCCGGAUUUAUUGGGUUUAAAGGGUGCGUAGGCGGAUUGGUAAGUCAGUGGUGAAAUCCUGCAGCUUAACUGUAGAAUUGCCAUUGAUACUGUCAGUCUUGAGUACGGUCAAGGUAGGCGGAAUGUGUAAUGUAGCGGUGAAAUGCUUAGAUAUUACACAGAACACCAAUUGCGAAGGCAGCUUACUGGGCCACAACUGACGCUGAGGCACGAAAGCGUGGGGAGCGAACAGGAUUAGAUACCCGCGUAGUCCA